rnacentral:rRNA from 1 species
AAAAAAUUAUAUUCAUAGCGGAGGAANNNAAGAAACCAACAGGGAUUGCCCUAGUAACGGCGAGUGAAGCGGCAACAGCUCAAAUUUGAAAGCUAGCCUUCGGGUUCGCAUUGUAAUUUGUAGAGGAUGCUUUGGGUAAAACGCCAGUCUAAGUUCCUUGGAACAGGACGUCAUAGAGGGUGAGAAUCCCGUAUGUGACUGGAAAUGUUAACCUAUGUAAAGCUCCUUCGACGAGUCGAGUUGUUUGGGAAUGCAGCUCUAAAUGGGAGGUAAAUUUCUUCUAAAGCUAAAUAUUGGCGAGAGACCGAUAGCGCACAAGUAGAGUGAUCGAAAGAUGAAAAGCACUUUGGAAAGAGAGUUAAAAAGCACGUGAAAUUGUUGAAAGGGAAGCGCUUGCAAUCAGACUUGUUUAAACUGUUCGGCCGGUCUUCUGACCGGUUUACUCAGUUUGGACAGGCCAGCAUCAGUUUCGGCGGCCGGAUAAAGGCUCUGGGAAUGUGGCCUCCACUUCGGUGGAGGUGUUAUAGCCCAGUGUGUAAUACGGCCAGCCGGGACUGAGGUCCGCGCUUCGGCUAGGAUGCUGGCGUAAUGGUUGUAAGCGACCCGUCUUGAAACACGGACCAAGGAGUCUAACAUCUAUGCGAGUGUUCGGGUGUCAAACCCCUGCGCGUAAUGAAAGUGAACGGAGGUGGGAACCGCAAGGUGCACCAUCGACCGAUCCUGAUGUCUUCGGAUGGAUUUGAGUAAGAGCAUAGCUGUUGGGACCCGAAAGAUGGUGAACUAUGCCUGAAUAGGGUGAAGCCAGAGGAAACUCUGGUGGAGGCUCGCAGCGGUUCUGACGUGCAAAUCGAUCGUCAAAUUUGGGUAUAGGGGCGAAAGACUAAUCGAACCAUCUAGUAGCUGGUCUCGAAAAUUUUCCCCCCCCCAAAAAGAAAGGC